rnacentral:rRNA from 1 species
CUACGCUAGCGGCAGGCCUAAUACAUGCAAGUCGAACGAGAUUAAGGGGCUUGCUCCUUAUGAAAGUGGCGCACGGGUGCGUAACGCGUAUGCAACCUACCUUAAUCAGGGGGAUAGCCCGAAGAAAUUCGGAUUAACACCGCAUAAAAACACAGGAUAGCAUUAUCCAAUGUUCAAAUAUUUAUAGGAUUAAGAUGGGCAUGCGUGUCAUUAGCUAGUUGGCGGGGUAACGGCCCACCAAGGCGACGAUGACUAGGGGAUCUGAGAGGAUGACCCCCCACACUGGUACUGAGACACGGACCAGACUCCUACGGGAGGCAGCAGUAAGGAAUAUUGGUCAAUGGAGGGAACUCUGAACCAGCCAUGCCGCGUGCAGGAAGACUGCCCUAUGGGUUGUAAACUGCUUUUAUCCGGGAAUAAACCUACUUACGUGUAAGUAGCUGAAUGUACUGGAAGAAUAAGGAUCGGCUAACUCCGUGCCAGCAGCCGCGGUAAUACGGAGGAUCCAAGCGUUAUCCGGAUUUAUUGGGUUUAAAGGGUGCGUAGGCGGCCUGUUAAGUCAGAGGUGAAAGACGGUAGCUCAACUAUCGCAGUGCCUUUGAUACUGACGGGCUUGAAUGAACUAGAGGUAGGCGGAAUGAGACAAGUAGCGGUGAAAUGCAUAGAUAUGUCUCAGAACACCGAUUGCGAAGGCAGCUUACUAUGGUUUUAUUGACGCUGAGGCACGAAAGCGUGGGGAUCAAACAGGAUUAGAUACCCUGGUAGUCCACGCCCUAAACGAUGAAUACUCGCUGUUAGCGAUAUACAGUUAGCGGCUAAGCGAAAGCGUUAAGUAUUCCACCUGGGGAGUACGCUCGCAAGAGUGAAACUCAAAGGAAUUGACGGGGGCCCGCACAAGCGGAGGAGCAUGUGGUUUAAUUCGAUGAUACGCGAGGAACCUUACCCGGGCUUGAAAGUUAGUGAAUUAUUCAGAGAUGAAUAAGUGAGCAAUCACACGAAACUAG